AGAGAUGUGUGAUGACGCAUAUCAAUAAGCGGAGGAAAAGAAACUAACAAGGAUUCCCUUAGUAACGGCGAGUGAAGCGGGAAGAGCUCAAAUUUGAAAUCUUCAAGGUUCUGCCUUGACGAAUUGUAGUUUAUAGAAGUGUUUUCUGUUAGUAGAGUGGCAAAAGUUCUUUGGAAUAGGACAUCAUAGAGGGUGAGAAUCCCGUAUUUGGUCAUUCUUUCUAGCUUUGUGAUACACUUUCAACGAGUCGGAUUGUUUGGGAAUGCAGUCCAAAAUGGGUGGUAAAUUUCAUCUAAAGCUAAAUAUUGGCGAGAGACCGAUAGCGAACAAGUACCGUGAGGGAAAGAUGAAAAGAACUUUGAAAAGAGAGUUAAACAGUACGUGAAAUUGUCAAAAGGGAAGCGUUUGACACCAGUGUUGUUUUUCCGAAAAUCAAUUACGAAUGUUUUGUUUUUAAGAAGUUAUGACUUCAUCGGCUUGCUCCUUUCUUUACUGAAACUUUCUUAAUGCACUUUUCGGUUAACAAGUCAACAUCAAUUUCUUUUGUUGUAAAAGGGUACGAGGAAGGUGGCUUUCUUUUCGGAGAAAGUGUUUAUAGCCUUGGACCUCUGCAAUCGGAGAGAUUGAGGUCUGCAGCGUAGAUCCUUCGGGGUUAGGAUACAUUUGUGCUAAGUUAUAGCUUUUCAUAGACAACUUGUUGACUAUGUUAGUCUUGUAGCUUACUCGCUUAUGCUAUUUUACCUACGCUUAGGAUGUUGACGAUCAGCUGAGCGCG
rnacentral:rRNA from 1 species